rfam:Heligmosomoides polygyrus genome assembly, scaffold: HPBE_contig0001085
GCGCCGGUGGUGUAAGGCGAACAUCGCUGCCCGAAAAGCAGAAGAUGAGGGUUCGAGUCCCGUCUGGCGCA